GCUGGGCAUGGUGGCGCAUGCCUGUAGUCCCAGCUACUCGGGAAGCUGAGGCAGGAGAAUCUCUUGAACCUGGGAGGCGGAGGUUGCAGUGAGCUGAGAUCGUGCCACUGCACUCCAGCCUGGGCUAUAGAGUGAGACUCUGUCUCAA
rnacentral:SRP_RNA from 2 species